rnacentral:rRNA from 1 species
GACGUCAAAUCAUCAUGCCCCUUAUGUGUAGGGCUACACACGUGCUACAAUGGCUGGUACAGAGAGAUGCAAUACCGCGAGGUGGAGCCAAACUUUAAAACCAGUCUCAGUUCGGAUUGUAGGCUGAAACUCGCCUACAUGAAGCUGGAGUUACUAGUAAUCGCGAAUCAGAAUGUCGCGGUGAAUACGUUCCCGGGUCUUGUACACACCGCCCGUCACACCAUGAGAGUUGGCAAUACCCGAAGUCCGUGAGCUAACCGCAAGGAGGCAGCGGCCGAAGGUAGGGUCAGCGAUUGGGGUGAAGUCGUAACAAGGUAGCCGUAGGAGAACCUGCGGCUGGAUCACCUCCUUU